UACGUAGGGGGGCUAGCGUUGUCCGGAAUCAUUGGGCGUAAAGAGCGUGUAGGCGGCCCGGUAAGUCCGCUGUGAAAGUCGGGGGGCUCAACCCUCGGAUGCCGGUGGAUACUGUCGGGCUCGAGUACGGAAGAGGCGAGUGGAAUUCCUGGUGUAGCGGUGAAAUGCGCAGAUAUCAGGAGGAACACCUAUUGCGAAGGCAGCUCGCUGGGACGUUACUGACGCUGAGACGCGAAAGCGUGGGGAGCGAACAGG
rnacentral:rRNA from 1 species